rnacentral:rRNA from 1 species
UACGUAGGGACCAAGCGUUGUUCGGAUUUACUGGGCGUAAAGGGCGCGUAGGCGGCGCUGUAAGUCACUUGUGAAAUCUCCGGGCUUAACUCGGAACGGUCAAGUGAUACUGCAGUGCUAGAGUGCAGAAAGGGCAAUCGGAAUUCUUGGUGUAGCGGUGAAAUGCGUAGAUAUCAAGAGGAACACCUGAGGCGAAGGCGGGUUGCUAGGCUGACACCGACGCUGACAGCGCGAAAGCCAGGGGAGCAAACGGG